rnacentral:lncRNA from 1 species
AAGCUGCACGGGCUGUGCCGGGUGAAGGCCAGGGACGACAGUGAGUGCCCCCGGAGCUGAGGGUGCUGGGGUGAGGGGCCGGGGGGGGGGGCACCCUUUUCGGGCAACCGUGGCCCCCGUGCAUCCCGGUGAGCGCGCCACCCCGUGCAUGGCGCACACACCCCGCGGUGCCUGCUCCGUUCCCCGUGCCCCCAUCUCUGCUCUCCCCGCAGACCAGCGACCGGCCAGCCUCGAUUUCCCCCCAGCCUCGGCCCCCCCGGGCCCCGACUCCCUGCACAGCUCCGGCGUCAGCGUCCUCCUGCACCGCGAGCUGCCCCAGAUCCCCGUCCCCGAGCCCCCGGCCCCCGACCAGACCUACUCCAACCUGCUCUUCGCCCCGCCGCGACGCCCGGCACAGGACACGGUCUACGAGUGCCUGGCGGUGGGGGGGGACGAUGCCCCCGCACCCCCUGCUCCCACGGGGACCCGGGUGUCCCCACCGCAGGCCAGGCGCGGGGCUGGUGACUACGCCUGCGUCCGCAAGGUGAAGAAGACGGCGCCCGGCGAGGAGCAGGAGGGGGCCGUGGCGGGGCCUCCCGCAGCCCCCCGGUGCUGGGAGGGCACGGGCAAUGCCCCCCCCCAGCUGAAGGUGGAAGACAUGUACUCGACGGUGUGCAAAGCCACCAAGAAGAAGAGCCAGGGCCCUGCUGCGUCCCCGAGGGCUGCGGGGCAGGGGGGGGCCGGGCAGUUGCCCCCAGCCCAAGAGGAGCCCCCCCCGGCUGGCUGCUGGUCCGCGGCCCCCCCCGAGCCCUGCUACGAGUCCAUCAACGAGAGGGCCUGGACUGCCCGCGCCCGCGGCCCCGACCCGGACUACGAGGCCGUGGACGUGACCUGGAAGAAGCCGGCGAAGCGGGACAAGGCCGGGAAGCCCAGUCCCCACGAGAACCUCUACGAAAGCGUCGGCGAAAUUUGGGCAGGGGAAUCCCGGCGAGCCUCCGGCAGGCCGGCUGCCAACGGGCUGGAGGUGUACAUCACCAACCUAUAGUGCGGGCAGACGGACGGACAGACAGGCAGACAGAUGGAUGGACGGACGGAUGCCAUCGUGGCACAGGUCCCCCAGGCUGGGCUCUGCGGGGCUCAGCCCCGCUCGGGGCCGGCGGUGGCUCGGUGGGCACGGGCACACACCAACGCGGUGCCGGGCGGGUGGCCGCAUCCCUGCACGCUCUCUCUGUAUAUAUUUUACAUUACUUUUCUUCAAGCGUCCUCGUCCCGUCCCACCCUGUGCCUGCGGGUUGAUGUCGGGAUGCCCCAGACAGGGAAUUUGCAGGGGAUGUCUUUUGGGGCUGGUGCUGGCAGGGCUCCGAGCCAGCCCCGUGGUGGACCUGGGCUGCAGGAUCAGGCCACGCAGCGGCAGGGCGAUGCCGUGAGUGAGGACGGGAUGCUUCGCUCCAUCCCUCGGUGCCCCCAGAGCUGUUCGUGGAGGCAGGCACGGCGGCUCCGGCCGUGACCGCGGUGUGAGGCAGAGGUGGCCGCGGGCUCUGCUCCGGGAUGCUGCACGCCCCCGGCACCCUCCCUUCCACCCACCCUCGCUGCCUGUCGGACACGCACGAUGUUGCCUCCCCGAGCACCAUCCUGCCCCCACGUCACUCCCGGGCUGCGUUCAUCCUGCUCAGGAGAAAACACCCCUAAAACUCCAUCGGAAGCCCUGGCUCGUGGGGCCGGUGCUGGUGCUGCGGGCGCCGCGGUGGUGCCAGGAUCACAGCGCUGCGCCCAUCCUGCACCAACGCUCCCAUGGCUACGGGGCCGGAUCCUGCCCUGGCCGUGCCAAAGCCACGGCUCCAAGGCUCUGCCCGCUCCUUUUGCCACCGCGGUGGCGGCGCCUCGGCGGCCCGAGGGCUGCGGUCCUGGCACGGGGCGGGAUGCCCGGCCGGGCGCCGCGGCACAGGAGGAAGGAAGGAAGCCGUGCGCCCGCCUCCGCCGGCUUUGCCCUCGAUUGAAGCAGACGAGGAGAUGAAAAGCGAAAACACGGCGCUCAGCAAAAGGCC